UGAAAUUAUCGCCGUCGUCGUUGUCUUCCGAUGG
rnacentral:sRNA from 1 species